rnacentral:rRNA from 1 species
GACGAACGCUGGCGGCGUGCUUAACACAUGCAAGUCGAACGGAAAGGCCCUGCUUUUGUGGGGUGCUCGAGUGGCGAACGGGUGAGUAACACGUGAGUAACCUGCCCUUGACUUUGGGAUAACUUCAGGAAACUGGGGCUAAUACCGGAUAGGAGCUUCUGCUGCAUGGUGGGGGUUGGAGAGUUUCGGCGGUUUGGGAUGGACUCGCGGCUUAUCAGCUUGUUGGUGGGGUAGUGGCUUACCAAGGCUUCGACGGGUAGCCGGCCUGAGAGGGUGACCGGCCACAAUGGGACUGCGGGAGGGACCAGACUGCUACGGGAGGCAGCGGUGGAGAGUAUUGCGCAAUGAGCGGGAGCCUGAUGCGGAGGCGCCGCGUGCGGAAUGCCGGCCUUCGAGUUGUGAACAGCUUUCGACUGUAACGAGGCGUGAGUGACGGUAAUGGGUCAAGAAGCACCGGCUAACUACGUG